AGCAGUUCUCAAUACCGGGAGAGGCACAGAGCUAUUUCAGCCACAUGAAAAGCAUCGGAAUUGAGAUCGCAGCUCAGAGGACACCGGGCGCCCCUUCCACCUUCCAAGGAGCUUUGUAUUCUUGCAUCUGGCUGCCUGGGACUUCCCUUAGGCAGUAAACAAAUACAUAAAGCAGGGAUAAGACUGCAUGAAUAUGUCGAAACAGCCAGUUUCCAAUGUUAGAGCCAUCCAGGCAAAUAUCAAUAUUCCAAUGGGAGCCUUUCGGCCAGGAGCAGGUCAACCCCCCAGAAGAAAAGAAUGUACUCCUGAAGUGGAGGAGGGUGUUCCUCCCACCUCGGAUGAGGAGAAGAAGCCAAUUCCAGGAGCGAAGAAACUUCCAGGACCUGCAGUCAAUCUAUCGGAAAUCCAGAAUAUUAAAAGUGAACUAAAAUAUGUCCCCAAAGCUGAACAGUAGUAGGAAGAAAAAAGUGGUAAAAGAACUCAGUGAUAUCAAAGAAUUGAAGAGGAACAAAAUAAGUAUCAAAGUGGUAAUGACGCAUCAAUUACAAGAAAAAGAAAUGAUUAGCAAAGGAUUGAUGUGAAGAAAUAAAGAGGCAGAAGAUGGAUUCAAUAGCUCACUAAAAUUUUAUAUAUUUGUAUGAUGAUUGUGAACCUCCUGAAUGCCUGAGACUCUAGCAGAAAUGGCCUGUUUGUACAUUUAUAUCUCUUCCUUCUAGUUGGCUGUAUUUCUUACUUUAUCUUCAUUUUUGGCACCUCACAGAACAAAUUAGCCCAUAAAUUCAACACCUGGAGGGUGUGGUUUUGAGGAGGGAUAUGAUUUUAUGGAGAAUGAUAUGGCAAUGUGCCUAACGAUUUUGAUGAAAAGUUUCCCAAGCUACUUCCUACAGUAUUUUGGUCAAUAUUUGGAAUGCGUUUUAGUUCUUCACCUUUUAAAUUAUGUCACUAAACUUUGUAUGAGUUCAAAUAAAUAUUUGACUAAAUGUAAAA